UUUCCAAGCUUCCUUAACCUCUGGAUUGCUCGAAAUCGAUCAGCAAAGCGCAGCCAGCCUGGCAAUUAGGAGCUCAUUACCAUAUAUGCAAAUAUGGCAAGCUCUCUCUCCGCAGCCGCGGAGGCGCGGGGAGAGAGAACCGCAGCAGCGUUUAGGGGUGGGAACUGGGCACGGCCCGGCCUGAGCGCAGGGGAUCCUCCUCCCGCCGAGGACCCUUCCCAAAAACGGCGCCGUGCCCCGGCAAUAACCCGGUAAUUCGGGGACACGCGGAGGGCCGGCCAGCCCCGGCCCGAGGGAGUGUUCUAAAGGCGCUGCCACGGAGCAUGGAAAGGGGCGUUAGUGCCGCAAAACGGGCGUUUUAAACUUAUUUAUGAAGAGAGUUUCUGCUGGAAGGCAAAUCCCGGGCUGCGACGGCGGGGGCGAUCAGUGUCGGGUGAUCCAGGAGGAUUCUGAGCUCGGAAUCCGGGAUUUUCGGCGGUGGGUGUCCCAGGGGAGGCAGGCGGGACCCUCACCCCCCUUAUCCCGCACCGAUUAAAAAUGGGAAAAAACCCUCCAGGAAAGGCAAAGCAAACCCGUCAUUCCCCCAGGAAGGGUCUGGAUUGCGGAGAGAGGGGAGAAGGAGGAACGCGCCCCUUCUGUGCAGCCCCCUGGGGUUAUCCCCGUGAAU